rnacentral:rRNA from 1 species
GGCAGCACGGGAGCUUGCUCCUGUUCGGCGAGUGGCAAGCGGGUGACUAAUGCUUCGGAACGUGCCCAGUAAUGGGGGAUAAUUGCCCCUAAAGUUGUGCUAAUACCGCAUACACCCUGAGGGGGAAAGCGGGGGAUCGUAAGACCUCCCGUUAUUCGAGAGGGCAAAGUUUGACCCCCCCCUUAUUGGGAUAAAGGC